AGACGAUUGCUAGCAUUCCCCCUAUCGACUUCCCUCCGUGAAUGGGAGUCUUGUGGGAUUUACAUGAGGUGCAAUUAGGAAGAUCAACCACACUAACUUAGACGCAGCCCAUACUCCUACCGAAGGCAGUAGUGGAGAAUUCUCUGCAAUGGGAGAAAGCUCGAUAGAGCAAUGCUGUGUGGAGGUAGAAGAGGCAAUGAAAGCAUCGACUUUCUUUGUGCUAGCAGCUGCGAUAAAACAGAGGAUUCAAGCAUUAUCU
rnacentral:rRNA from 1 species